rnacentral:misc_RNA from 1 species
UCCGGUUUAUCACCGGCAGUUUCCUUAUAGUUCCCGGCAUUACCCGCUGGCAAAUAAGGAUGAGGGUUUCGCUCGUUGCGGGACUUAACCCAACAUCUCACGACACGAGCUGACGACAGCCAUGCAACACCUGUGUGUGGUCCAGCCGAACUGAAAGGUCCCAUCUCUAGGACCCGUAACCACCAUGUCAAGGGUUGGUAAGGUUCUUCGCGUAGCAUCGAAUUAAACCGCAUGCUCCACCACUUGUGCGAGCCCCCGUCAAUUCCUUUGAGUUUUAAUCUUGCGAUCGUACUCCCCAGGCGGAGUGCUUAAUGCGUUAGCUGCGAAACCGAAAAAUAAAUUUCCCGAUAUCUAGCACUCAUCGUUUACAGCGUGGACUAC